rnacentral:rRNA from 1 species
AGCGAACGCUGGCGGCGUGCCUAACACAUGCAAGUCGAACGUGAAAAGGGAAACCUGAGUAAAGUGGCGUACGGGUGAGUAACGCGUAGGUAAUCUACCCCAGAAUCUGGAAUAACCUGCCGAAAGGCGGGCUAAUACUGGAUAGAGCGAGGGAACUCGUAAGAGAGUUUUUCGGGAAAGGGAGCCCGCAAGGGCCUUCGUUCUGGGAUGAGCCUGCGUCUCAUUAGCUAGUUGGUAAGGUAACGGCUUACCAAGGCGAUGAUGAGUAGCUGGUCUGAGAGGAUGAUCGGCCACACUGGAACUGAAACACGGUCCAGACUCCUACGGGAGGCAGCAGUGGGGAAUCUUGCGCAAUGGACGAAAGUCUGACGCAGCCACGCCGCGUGAGUGAAGAAGGCCUUCGGGUUGUAAAGCUCUGUCGGAUGGGACGAACAUCUUCAUAGUGAAUAGCUAUGAGGACUGACGGUACCAUCAAAGGAAGCACCGGCUAACUCCGUG